UGUGUCGUGGUGUAGUUGGUUAUCACGUCUAUCUAAUUUAUUGAAGGUCUCUUCGGUUUGAGUCCGGGCGACGCCA